rnacentral:rRNA from 1 species
UACGUAGGGUCCGAGCGUUGUCCGGAAUUAUUGGGCGUAAAGAGCUCGUAGGCGGUUUGUCGCGUCUGCUGUGAAAUCCCGAGGCUCAACCUCGGGUCUGCAGUGGGUACGGGCAGACUGGAGUGCGGUAGGGGAGAAUGGAAUUCCUGGUGUAGCGGUGGAAUGCGCAGAUAUCAGGAGGAACACCGAUGGCGAAGGCAGGUCUCUGGGCCGCAACUGACACUGAGGAGCGAAAGCAUGGGGAGCGAACAGG